AUGAACGCUAGCGGCAGGCCUAACACAUGCAAGUCGAGGGGCAGCACGUUAAAGAGUUUACUCUUUAUGGUGGCGACCGGCGGACGGGUGCGUAACGCGUAUGCAACCUGCCUGACACAGGGGGAUAAUCCGAAGAAAUUUGGUCUAAUACCCCAUAAUACCGAUAUAGGCAUCUAUGUUGGUUGAAAGCUUUGGUGGUGUCAGAUGGGCAUGCGUUGUAUUAGCUAGUUGGUGAGGUAACGGCUCACCAAGGCGACGAUACAUAGGGGGACUGAGAGGUUAACCCCCCACACUGGUACUGAGACACGGACCAGACUCCUACGGGAGGCAGCAGUGAGGAAUAUUGGUCAAUGGGCGGAAGCCUGAACCAGCCAUGCCGCGUGCAGGAAGACGGCUCUAUGAGUUGUAAACUGCUUUUGUACUAGGGUAAUUUGCGGUACGUGUACCGUAUUGAAAGUAUAGUACGAAUAAGGAUCGGCUAACUCCGUGCCAGCAGCCGCGGUAAUACGGAGGAUCCAAGCGUUAUCCGGAUUUAUUGGGUUUAAAGGGUGCGUAGGCGGCAGAUUAAGUUAGAGGUGAAAUUCCGAGGCUCAACCUUGGCACUGCCUCUGAUACUGGUUUGCUAGCGAGUAGAUGCUGUAGGCGGAAUGUGUGGUGUAGCGGUGAAAUGCAUAGAGAUCACACAGAACACCGAUUGCGAAGGCAGCUUACAAAUCUAUAUCGGACGCUGAGGCACGAAAGCGUGGGGAGCAAACAGGAUUAGAUACCCUGGUAGUCCACACCGUAAACGAUGGAUACUAGGUGUGGGAGAUAUUAAGUCUUCUGUGCCGUCGCAAACGCAAUAAGUAUCCCACCUGGGGAGUACGGCCGCAAGGUUGAAACUCAAAGGAAUUGACGGGGGCCCGCACAAGCGGAGGAACAUGUGGUUUAAUUCGAUGAUACGCGAGGAACCUUACCCGGGCUUGAAAGUUAGUGACGGAUGCCGAAAGAUGUCUUCCCUUCGGGGCACGAAACUAGGUGCUGCAUGGUUGUCGUCAGCUCGUGCCGUGAGGUGUCGGGUUAAGUCCCAUAACGAGCGCAACCCCUAUCGUUAGUUACCAGCACGUGAAGGUGGGGACUCUAACGAGACUGCCGGUGUAAGCCGAGAGGAGGGUGGGGAUGAUGUCAAAUCAGCACGGCCCUUACGUCCGGGGCGACACACGUGUUACAAUGGUCGGUACAGAGGGCAGCUACCUGGUGACAGGAUGCGAAUCUCGAAAGCCGGUCUCAGUUCGGAUUGGAGGCUGAAACUCGCCUCCAUGAAGUUGGAUUCGCUAGUAAUCGCGCAUCAGCCAUGGCGCGGUGAAUACGUUCCCGGGCCUUGUACACACCGCCCGUCAAGCCAUGGGAGUCGGGGGUGCCUGAAGUACGUUACCGCGAGGAGCGUCCUAGGGCAAAACUGAUGACUGGGGCU
rnacentral:rRNA from 1 species